UACGUAGGUCCCGAGCGUUGUCCGGAUUUAUUGGGCGUAAAGCGAGCGCAGGUGGUUUAUUAAGUCUGGUGUAAAAGGCAGUGGCUCAACCAUUGUAUGCAUUGGAAACUGGUAGACUUGAGUGCAGGAGAGGAGAGUGGAAUUCCAUGUGUAGCGGUAAAAUGCGUAGAUAUAUGGAGGAACACCGGUGGCGAAAGCGGCUCUCUGGCCUGUGACUGACACUGAGGCUCGAAAGCGUGGGGAGCAAACAGG
rnacentral:rRNA from 1 species